rnacentral:rRNA from 1 species
UACAGAGGUCUCAAGCGUUGUUCGGAUUCAUUGGGCGUAAAGGGUGCGUUAGGUGGCGGGGUAAGUCAGGUGUGAAAUCUCGAGGCUCAACCUCGAAAUCUGCACUUUGAAUACUGCCUUGCUCGAGUACUGGAGAGGAGAUUGGAUUACGGUGUAGCAGUGAAAUGCGUAGAUAUCGUAAGGAAGACCAGUGGCGAAGGCGAAUCUCUGGACAGUUACUGACACUGAG